rnacentral:rRNA from 1 species
UACGAGGGGGGCAAGCGUUGUUCGGAAUCACUGGGCGUAAAGGGUGCGUAGGCGGGUCUUUAAGUCAGGGGUGAAAUCCUGGAGCUCAACUCCAGAACUGCCUUUGAUACUGAAGAUCUUGAGUCCGGGAGAGGUGAGUGGAACUGCGAGUGUAGAGGUGAAAUUCGUAGAUAUUCGCAAGAACACCAGUGGCGAAGGCGGCUCACUGGCCCGGUACUGACGCUGAGGCACGAAAGCGUGGGGAGCAAACAGG